UACGCAGAAUGCUCCAAGUGUGACCAAAAGUAAUAAACGAAUGCUAACAGUUCCGAGUGCUAAUAAUAAUGCAACCAGCGUGAAAAUAUCGAUACGGUUAAAUCGUCGUAAUUUAAUGGCAAAAGUACACAAAUAUUCUCUCGAAACAGGCCGGACCGUCAUACGAUUUUCGUAGCCCCGUCUCCGACGCAACUGAAAUAACGUUCGCGAGCGCGUGUCUCGUGCGCGUUACGUUUACAAGGC